UAACGUUGAUCAUUUAUUGUACACGUUUAUCGUUUAAUUAGGUAUAGGUAAUAGAUAAUACCUAUUACGUGUUAUGACAGCUUUAUUAUUAUCUCUUAGAGUAUUAGGCGUAAAUAUAAAGAAAAACCAAUAUUUAAAAUAUUGAAAAGUAUGUUAUUAUUAAAUAACAAAUUAGAUCGUAAUUAUCAUAUAAUUAAAAAACCAAUUUUAAAAUUAAAAAAAUAUUAUUUUUAUUAAAAAUUAUUUACAAAAAUCGUAUAAGUUUGAAUUAUUAUAUUAUUUAUUAUAUAAUAAUUAUAAUUAUUAUUGUAUUUAUUAUUUAUUAUAUUUACCAUAACAAUUAUUUAUAGAAAGUAACGUCAACUGAUUUAAAAACAUUAGAAUGUGCUAUUGAGAAUUUGUGUUCGGAAAAAAAUAAACUUAUUAUUGAAAAAUCAAAAAUCACUGAAUUGAAGACUGAACUUAAUUGUUACCAAAAAGUAAGUAAAAUACCAAAGAUGUAGUGUUAAUACUGUUUAAAGAAGAAUACCACCUUUGAUCAAGUAAAUUAAAUGUUGUAAUUGAUUUUAGCAUUUAAAUGAUCUUGAAGGAGUAACAAAAAGUACAACAACGGAAAAAGUUAAAGAAUCGGAGGCAGCUAAACAGCUGCUUAAGGGACUAAACAAAAUAAUAACUGACAUAGAUCAGGUAUUCAAAAAGUUAGAGGAAAAAGAAUUAGUCGGUACAAAGAUUACUAUAGAUUGUGAGUAUAUCAAGAUUGACGAACUAAUUACAGCAGUACGAAAAUUACAAAAUGUACCCGAUGAACACAAGAUACAACAAAUCAUUCAAGUUUUAUCUAAAAUUGACAGCGAUCAUGAUGGUUUAAUUAAAUUAAAUACUUUGUUAAAAGUGCUGCAUCUGUUUUGUAAUGAAAAUAUGGAUUUAUCCAAUGCAACAAUGGAUAUGAUUACAGUUAUUAAAGAGGAGUGUAUGGAAAAAAGUGAU